GAUGAACGCUGACAGAAUGCUUAACACAUGCAAGUCAACUUGAACUUCGGUUUGGGUGGCGGACGGGUGAGUAACGCGUAAAGAACUUGCCUCACAGAUAGGGACAACAUUUGGAAACGAAUGCUAAUACCUGAUAUUAUGAUUUUAGGGCAUCCUAGAAUUAUGAAAGCUAUAUGCGCUGUGGGAGAGCUUUGCGUCCCAUUAGCUAGUUGGAGAGGUAACGGCUCACCAAGGCGAUGAUGGGUAGCCGGCCCGAGAGGGUGAUCGGCCACAAGGGGACUGAGACACGGCCCAGACUCCUACGGGAGGCAGCAGUAGGGAAUCUUCGGCAAUGGGGGGAACCCUGACCGAGCAACGCCGCGUGAGUGAAGAAGGUUUUCGGAUCGUAAAGCUCUGUUGUAAGAGAAGAACGAGUGUGAGAGUGGAAAGUUCACACUGUGACGGUAUCUUACCAGAAAGGGACGGCUAACUACGUGCCAGCAGCCGCGGUAAUACGUAGGUCCCGAGCGUUGUCCGGAUUUAUUGGGCGUAAAGCGAGCGCAGGCGGUUAGAUAAGUCUGAAGUUAAAGGCUGUGGCUUAACCAUAGUACGCUUUGGAAACUGUUUAACUUGAGUGCAAGAGGGGAGAGUGGAAUUCCAUGUGUAGCGGUGAAAUGCGUAGAUAUUAGGAGGAAUACCGGUGGCGAAAGGCGACUUUCUGGACUUUUUACUGACGCUCAGGUACGAAAGCGUGGGGAGCAAACAGG
rnacentral:rRNA from 1 species